rnacentral:rRNA from 1 species
UACGUAGGGAGCAAGCGUUAUCCGGAUUUAUUGGGUGUAAAGGGUGCGUAGACGGGAAAUUAAGUUAGUUGUGAAAUCCCUCGGCUCAACUGAGGAACUGCAACUAAAACUGGUUUUCUUGAGUGCAGGAGAGGUAAGUGGAAUUCCUAGUGUAGCGGUGAAAUGCGUAGAUAUUAGGAGGAACACCAGUGGCGAAGGCGACUUACUGGACUGUAACUGACGUUGAGGCACGAAAGUGUGGGGAGCAA